GUUACCAAUAAUAACUUUGGAAAUGUGUGCGUUUCUAUCAAAGUAAAUGCCUUAUCACGUUGCAAUAGUUUCUGCAUGUCGCGUUGCCGUUUCUACUGUAGCAUAAUAUUUUUUUGUAUAUUCCUUAUAUCUGCGGACACGUGAGGAAAUGUUACUCAUUUCAUAACCUUUAUGCUAAUUGCGUCAGAAGUAUUAGCAUGUGUUGUAUUUUGAAACUACCCUGGCCUUAUGACUCCCAGGUGGCACAGCGUCUCAGUGCUAGAGGCGUCACUACAGACACACAGGUUAAAAUCCAGACUGCGUUUCUAUCAAAUGGCACAGCUGUCUAAGGCACAGCAUCUCAGUGCUAGAGGCGUCACUACAGACACCCUGGUUUAAAUCCAGACUGUGUUUCUAUCAAAGUGGUCCACCUUCCGUGAGGCCGGCAUGGUUGCUGUAUGGACAGUGGAGAGGACAUGGAUGUCUCAUUUGUCAUGCCAUCUUACUGCCAGCUGUUUACAUUUCUUAUUUUGUAUAACGGGUCAUUUAGGAUGGCAGUAGAAUUUUUUGAGGACUUCUGGAAAUGAAUGGUGGGAUGUGAACAAUGGUGGACGACCCCCCCCCCUUGAACAUGCAUACUAUAAAUAGACCAAACUCAUCUUGUGUCCUCUCAUUAUCUUUGGUUUCUGUGAGGGAAAAAAGCAUGGCAGCGCGCAGAAACUACCCAUCGUAGGAUUACUUUACAUUUCUAGAGAGGGUUUUACUAAAUUAUUUUGAUCAAUGGUGAGCUCACCCAUGAUGUGAUUAAUUAUAAAUAGCCAUUUCGAUUAGCUAAUUCAUAUUGUACUUUGUUAGCAAGAGUUAAAGGACUGUGUUUGUGCAAAAUGUUUCUGAAAAAAGUGUGGCCAGCUCAAAUGCUGAUUGUUGCGUCAUUUGAAACUGGCCAUUCUAAAUAAGCGUUUGGUCAUGUAGUGCAUAGUUAAAAUAUAUCUGCAUCUGACUGGAAGUGUACGGAGACUUUUUCCUGUUUCUCCUGUUUUGCCUUUUGCUUCCAGCACCUUCAGAAAUCAAAUCGCAAUCCAAUCAAAUCCAAUUUUAUUGGUCACAUACACAUGGUUAGCAGAUCUUAUUGUGUUAUUGUGUAGCGAAAUGCUUGUGCUUCUAGUUCCGACAGUGCAGCAAUAUCUAACAAGUAAUAUCUAACAAUUCCACAACAACUACCUAAUACACACAAAUCUAAGCAUUGGAACGGAAUAACAAUAUAUAAAUAUAUGGAUGAGCAAAGUCAGAGCGGCAUAGACUACGA